UACGAAGGGGGGCUAGCGUUGCUCGGAAUCACUGGGCGUAAAGCGCACGUAGGCGGAUUGUUAAGUCAGGGGUGAAAUCCUGGAGCUCAACUCCAGAACUGCCUUUGAUACUGGCGAUCUCGAGUCCGGGAGAGGUGAGUGGAACUGCGAGUGUAGAGGUGAAAAUUCGUAGAUAUUCGCAAGAACACCAGUGGCGAAGGCGGCUCACUGGCCCGGAACUGACGCUGAGGUGCGAA
rnacentral:rRNA from 1 species